UUCGAUCCCUGGGUCAGGAAGAUCCCCUGGAGAAGGAAAUGGCAAGCCACUCUAGUAUUUUUGCCUGAAAAAUCCCAUGGACAGAAGAGUCUGGUGAUUUAUAUCCAUGGAGUCGCAGAGUCAGACACAACUGAGCAACGAAGCACAGUAUAUUGUUAGGUCAUUUUACUUAGUCUGUUCUGUACCCAUCUUUAUUAUUUCUAGGUAAAUGACAUAUUUGCACCAUCCUUAAGAUUCUCAGCCCAAAUUUCCUAGUGUUGCUAGGCUGGUUAGUCUAAAUUUAAGCAUUUAAUUUACUUGUUCCUAAGAUAAAGGGAGACCUUUAAUACUUAAAUGACCCCAGCCUGGUAUUAAUGAUAUAGAUCCAUCCCAUUAUGGGGGUUUUCCUGUAAAGAUGAGAUGUUACAGUUUUUGAUUGAGACUCAGGUUUUCAUUCUGAUAGAGUUUUGAGUGUGCCUAAAAGAAAAUUUAAAUCUAUGGCCAGAGCAAGUAUUAUUAAUUGACUAGGUGAGAGGAUCCCAUCUAGUAGUAAUACCAUGAGUAGAAAGAACAGGAUUGAACUCUUCUGAAAUAAAUUUCCUAAGGUCUAUCUAUUCAGAGGCUUGGAGGGGAGAAAUCCACCAAGAUAAUCCAGAAAUACCAGACACAGGUAACUAGCCACAAACCCAACAAUUUGAUUGAUUUUUAAAACUAGCACAGAAUCCUGUCCAUGAGAAAAAACAUUUGAUUUAUAUGCAAAAGUCAAAGAAGUCAAGAAAACACUAUAAAUGAUCAUACAAAUCAGGUCUACCAUCUUGGGCAAGCUGUCUGCUUCUGAUAUUGUCUUCUCAUCCUGGUGGAGUGGACCAACGGACCUUUUUAUCCUCUGAUAAAACGUCCUUCCACCCAGGUUGGAAACAGUCCCUUAAGUGAUGUCUUUUUCCAGUCUUGUUGCAGGUUAUGAGGCAUUUGAUCUUCAUCCAAAGAUUACUGAAAUCAGCUUCAGAAACAAACUUAGAGUGUCCUUUAAUAAUUCAAUUCUUUUACAUUAAUAUAGCAUAAUAACACAGAACUAUCCAGGAGAUGAGUCUUAGUAGAUACAGACCUCCAGUAACAAAACUAGGAUUUAACAUUCAUUGAACCAUCUUUUUCUCCCUAAAAAUACCCUCAUUUUUACCAAAUAUAACCAAAUUAAGACCAGUUUGUGAAAAAAGUCUGAUUUCAAUAAACUUUUCCUGAUGAUUUAUAUAAACAUAAUUAAUGAUAGACUUUUUUGUUUUUUCCUUGCUGAAACUUAUAAAA